UACGUAGGGGGGCAAGCGUUGUCCGGAUUUAUUGGGCGUAAAGAGCGUGUAGGCGGCUAGGUAGGUCCGUUGUGAAAACUCGAGGCUCAACCUCGAGACGCCGGUGGAAACCAUCUAGCUAGAGUCCGGAAGAGGAGAGUGGAAUUCCUGGUGUAGCGGUGAAAUGCGCAGAUAUCAGGAAGAACACCCGUGGCGAAGGCGGCUCUCUGGUACGUGACUGACGCUGAGACGCGAAAGCGUGGGGAGCGAACAGG
rnacentral:rRNA from 1 species